rnacentral:rRNA from 1 species
UGGAUUUCUUCGGAUUGAAGUUUUUGUGACUGAGUGGCGGACGGGUGAGUAACGCGUGGGUAACCUGCCUCAUACAGGGGGAUAACAGUUAGAAAUGACUGCUAAUACCGCAUAAGCGCACAGUGCUGCAUGGCACAGUGUGAAAAACUCCGGUGGUAUGAGAUGGACCCGCGUCUGAUUAGGUAGUUGGCGGGGUAACGGCCCACCAAGGCGACGAUCGGUAGCCGGCCUGAGAGGGUGAACGGCCACAUUGGAACUGAGACACGGUCCAAACUCC